CCUACGGGAGGCAGCAGUGAGGAAUAUUGGUCAAUGGACGAGAGUCUGAACCAGCCAAGCAGCGUGAAGGAUGAUUGCCUUAUGGGUUGUAAACUCCUUUUAUAUGGGAAUAAAAUGUUCCACGUGUGGGAUCUUGUAUGUACCAUAUGAAUAAGGUCCGGCUAACUCCGUGCCAGCAGCCGCGGUAAUACGGAGGAUCCGAGCGUUUUCUGGAUUUAUUGGGUUUAAAGGGAGCGUAGGUGGAUUGUUAAGUCAGUUGUGAAAGUUUGCGGCUCAAGCGUAAAAGUGCAGUUGAAACUGGCAGGCUGGAGUACAGUAGAGGUGGGCGGAAUUCGUGGUGUAGCGGUGAAAUGCUUAGAGAUCACGAAGAACUCCGAUUGCGAAGGCAGUUCACUGGACUGCAACUGACACUGAGGCUCGAAAGUGUGGGUAUCAAACAGGAUUAGAUACCCGAGUAGUC
rnacentral:rRNA from 1 species